rnacentral:rRNA from 1 species
UACGUAGGUGGCUAGCGUUGUCCGGAAUCAUUGGGCGUAAAGAGCGUGUAGGCGGUCCGGUAAGUCCGCUGUGAAAGUCGGGGGCUCAACCCUCGAAUGCCGGUGGAUACUGUCGGGCUAGAGUGCGGAAGAGGCGAGUGGAAUUCCUGGUGUAGCGGUGAAAUGCGCAGAUAUCAGGAGGAACACCUAUUGCGAAGGCAGCUCGCUGGGACGUAACUGACGCUGAGACGCGAAAGCGUGGGGAGCAAACAGG